CCCAGUCGUGGGGGAUAACGCAGCGAAAGUUGUGCUAAUACCGCAUACGAUCUAUGGAUGAAAGCGGGGGAUCGCAAGACCUCGCGCGAUUGGAGCGGCCGAUAUCAGAUUAGCUAGUUGGUGAGGUAAAGGCUCACCAAGGCGGCGAUCUGUAGCUGGUCUGAGAGGACGACCAGCCACACUGGGACUGAGACACGGCCCAGACUCCUACGGGAGGCAGCAGUGGGGAAUUUUGGACAAUGGGCGCAAGCCUGAUCCAGCAAUGCCGCGUGCAGGAUGAAGGCCUUCGGGUUGUAAACUGCUUUUGUACGGAGCGAAAAGGCUCUCUCUAAUACAGGGGGCUCAUGACGGUACCGUAAGAAUAAGCACCGGCUAA
rnacentral:rRNA from 1 species